rnacentral:rRNA from 1 species
AGCGUAGGCGGAUAGUUUAGUCAGAGGUGAAAGCCCAGGGCUCAACCUUGGAAAUGCCUUUGAUACUGGCUAUCUUGAGUAUGGGAGAGGUAAGCGGAAUUCCGAGUGUAGAGGUGAAAUUCGUAGAUAUUCGGAAGAACACCGGUGGCAAAGGCGGCUUACUGGCCCAUUACUGACGCUGAGGCUCGAAAGCGUGGGGAGCAAACA